UGGGGAAUAUUGCACAAUGGGCGAAAGCCUGAUGCAGCGACGCCGCGUGCGGGAUGACGGCCUUCGGGUUGUAAACCGCUUUCGGCAGGGAAGAAGCCGUAAGGUGACGGUACCUGCAGAAGAAGCGCCGGCUAACUACGUGCCAGCAGCCGCGGUAAUACGUAGGGCGCAAGCGUUGUCCGGAAUUAUUGGGCGUAAAGAGCUCGUAGGCGGUUCGUCGCGUCUGCUGUGAAAUCCUCAGGCUCAACCUGGGGCGUGCAGUGGGUACGGGCGGACUGGAGUGCGGUAGGGGUGACUGGAAUUCCUGGUGUAGCGGUGGAAUGCGCAGAUACCAGGAGGAACACCGAUGGCGAAGGCAGGUCACUGGGCCGCAACUGACGCUGAGGAGCGAAAGCAUGGGGAGCGAACA
rnacentral:rRNA from 1 species